GGGUUUAUGGUCCAAUGGUAGGAUAUACCUCAAUGAAUCUCGCAAUCAUUGAGGUAUGGUCCCCGGUUCGAUUCCGGGUAAACCCC